UACGAAGGGGGCUAGCGUUGCUCGGAAUCACUGGGCGUAAAGGGUGCGUAGGCGGGUCUUUAAGUCAGAGGUGAAAUCCUGGAGCUCAACUCCAGAACUGCCUUUGAUACUGAGGAUCUUGAGUUCGGGAGAGGUGAGUGGAACUGCGAGUGUAGAGGUGAAAUUCGUAGAUAUUCGCAAGAACACCAGUGGCGAAGGCGGCUCACUGGCCCGAUACUGACGCUGAGGCACGGAAAGCGUGGGGAGCAAACAGG
rnacentral:rRNA from 1 species